UCAUCCCCCUUUUAUAUUUAAAAGUCUCUUGAACAGCUUGUCUCCUUAAACUCAAAAAAAAAAAAAAAUCAGGUCUCUCUAUGCGAGGAAAGUUGCAAGGACUGUCUGAAUCAUGGAACUGCUAGUUUUCUGACAACCUUCUUAUCUCAGAGGGCUAUGGGGCAAAAUUCUAGUGUUGUUGUAUUAUUCUGCUCUGAGUAGUCCUCGUUUAUGAUGGAAUCACUUCUACACUGACAAAUUCACAUAACAGAACAGAUAACGUUUAUAUA
rnacentral:lncRNA from 1 species